UGCGAAGGGGGCUAGCGUUGUUCGGAAUUACUGGGCGUAAAGGGCGCGUAGGCGGCGUGUCAAGUCAGGCGUGAAAGCCCGAGGCUCAACCUCGGAACUGCCUUCGAUACUGCGGGUCUCGAGUCCGGGAGAGGUGAGUGGAAUUCCUAGUGUAGAGGUGAAAUUCGUAGAUAUUAGGAAGAACACCAGUGGCGAAAGGCGGCUCACUGGCCCGGUACUGACGCUGAGGCGCGAAAGCGUGGGGAGCAAACAGG
rnacentral:rRNA from 1 species